UUGCUCGCUUCGGCAGCACAGUGGAACAAUACAGAGGAGAUUAGCAUGGCCCCGGCACAAGGAUGAUAUGCAAAUUUGUGAAGCGUUCCAUAUUUUU
ensembl:snRNA U6 U6 spliceosomal RNA